AUUGUGAUGACAUCCCAGUUAAAGCAAAUGUUAGAUUGCUGAUGCGGGUAAUGUGGAAAAAAAAAU
rnacentral:snoRNA from 1 species